rnacentral:rRNA from 1 species
UGGGGAAUUUUGCGCAAUGGGCGAAAGCCUGACGCAGCAACGCCGCGUGGGUGAUGAAGGUCUUCGGAUCGUAAAACCCUGUCGUCAGGGACGAAGGUUGUAUGUCUAAUAGAUGUGCAACUUGACGGUACCUGGAGAGGAAGCCCCGGCUAACUCUGUGCCAGCAGCCGCGGUAAUACAGAGGGGGCAAGCGUUAUUCGGAAUUAUUGGGCGUAAAGGGCGCGUAGGCGGUGGUUUAAGUGAGAUGUGUAAUCCCCGAGCUUAACUUGGGAACUGCAUCUCAGACUGGAUCGCUAGAGGGCGGGAGAGGGUGGUGGAAUUCCACGUGUAGCGGUGAAAUGCGUAGAGAUGUGGAGGAACACCAGUGGCGAAGGCGGCCACCUGGACAGUAACUGACGCUGAGGCGCGAAAGUGUGGGGAGCAAACA